CAAAUAAACAAGUCUUACAUAAACUCGAAGCGGACGAAAUCCUCUAAGUCUGAUCUUAUCUUGAGAGUAAUUUCUAAGCUGACUUGCUGAUUAUAAUCUCCUCAUCUUCAUAAAUUUCACUGGAGAAGUUUCAGUUUAUUUACCAGAAAUUUAACUGUCCGAACACUUGGACCUCGAUUCCAAACAUAUGAAUCCGUGAUAGAUUUGGAGUUAUCCACUCUGGAAGGCACAGGCAUGAAUGAAACCUGAGGUUCCAUCUGGUUUAGCAUCUACUCUUCCCUUCUUUCGGGUUGGAUAAAUAUCAGCAAAUCACAGGUGAGGGUAGCAAUAGGAUUGAUGAGAAGCCUUCUGUCUCACCUUGUUGAAAGUGCGGAUUGCUGAAUGUUCAAAGAGAGCUCGAACAAGUUUCCUCAAUCAUUUUGUCUUUCGGUGAAAAGAAUUCCUAGAAUAGAUGAGACAGAAGAUUCGAAAAACUAGCAUAUGGUAUGGUUAUUAGAUAACCACCCUGAUGGUUGGCUAUGCGAUGACACGGAUGCAAUGUGAAGGAUGCACUGCUUGUUUCUGCUUAAGCCAAGGAAACUUCGACAGAAGUAAAACCGCUGGUUUACCGGUCCUUACCUUGUGAAGAUCCCCUUUGUGUUCUUUACAUAAGUAUAAAUGAUAGUUGUGCCUAUGAUACGAGUUAUCUUGGAG